rnacentral:lncRNA from 1 species
UAUAAUUUAUACAUUUUUAAGUAUAUUUAUAAAAUACAAUAUAUAUUACUACUAAACACACACACACACAUAGCUAAUCUCCUAUACUAUUUAUAGUACUGGGACUCUUGUACUAUAGUCUCGUUUUCGAUCUUAGGGUGUUCAAAUCAAUGAUCCACACCGUUAAAACUGAUUUAGGAUAUUUAAAGUUUUAGAAAUAAAAUUUUAUAUUUUUUCGACAUAAUUUACUUUAUGAUCAAACUAUUUCAAAAUUGUUAAUUUUUAAUGACUACUAUGGCGAGUUUGGAGUUUAACGGUAUAGAAGAGCCUAAAUUUUUUUAAAUUUUGAUAGAAAAUACUUUAAACUAUCUAGAUUAAGGUUAACAUUCUUGAUCUUGAAUUUAAAAGUUCUAUGCUCAAAUUUUAAAGAUUAUUCAAUUUUCACCGUCCAUUUUGACAUAAUUUAUUUACUAAGUAAACGAUGUCGAAAAAAACUAAAAUUUUAUUUCUAAGAACUUCAUAUACCCUAAAUCAUAUUUAAUGGUGUGUAUCGUUAAUUUGAACACCUUAAGAUCGAAAAUAAGACUAUAGUAUCAGAGCUCCAGUACUAUAGUAUAAUAGCCUAAUUCUAUAUAUAUAUAUAUAUAUAUAUAUAUAUAU